UACGAAGGGGGCUAGCGUUGCUCGGAAUUACUGGGCGUAAAGCGCACGUAGGCGGCUUCUUAAGUCGGUGGUGAAAUCCUGGAGCUCAACUCCAGAACUGCCUUUGAUACUGAGGAUCUUGAGUAUGGGAGAGGUGAGUGGAACUGCGAGUGUAGAGGUGAAAUUCGUAGAUAUUCGCAAGAACACCAGUGGCGAAGGCGGCUCACUGGCCCAUUACUGACGCUGAGGCACGAAGGCGUGGGGAGCAAACAGG
rnacentral:rRNA from 1 species